GGACAGGUGCCAGAGUGGUCGAACGGGCACGCCUGGAAAGUGUGUGAACUCGUAAGGGUUCCGAGGGUUCGAAUCCCUCCCUGUCCGCCA
rnacentral:tRNA from 1 species